UACGAAGGGGGCUAGCGUUGUCCGGAAUCAUUGGGCGUAAAGAGCUUGUAGGCGGUUUGUCGCGUCUGCUGUGAAAUUUCGGGGCUCAACCCCGAACUUGCAGUGGGUACGGGCAGACUAGAGUGUGGUAGGGGAGACUGGAAUUCCUGGUGUAGCGGUGAAAUGCGCAGAUAUCAGGAGGAACACCGAUGGCGAAGGCAGGUCUCUGGGCCAUAACUGACGCUGAGAAGCGAAAGCAUGGGGAGCGAACAGG
rnacentral:rRNA from 1 species